rnacentral:rRNA from 1 species
AUCAAGGACUUAUGAAAGCUAUAUGCGCUGGAGGAGAACUUUGCGUCCCAUUAGGUAGUUGGUAGGGUAAUGGCCUACCAAGCCGACGAUGGGUAGCCGGCCUGAGAGGGUGAACGGCCACAAGGGGACUGAGACACGGCCCUUACUCCUACGGGAGGCAGCAGUGGGGAAUAUUGGACAAUGGACCAAAAGUCUGAUCCAGCAAUUUUGUGUGCACGAUGAAGGUCUUCGGAUUGUAAAGUGCUUUCAGGUGGGAAGAAGAAAGUGACGGUACCACCAGAAGAAGCGACGGCUAAAUACGUGCCAGCAGCCGCGGUAAUACGUAUGUCCAAGCGUUAUCCGGAAUUAUUGGGCGUAAAGCGAGUCUAGGCGGCUUGUUAAGUCAGAUGUGAAAAUGCGGGGCUCAACUCCGUAUUGCGUUUGAAACUGGCAGGCUAGAGUACUGGAGAGGUGGGCGGAACUACAAGUGUAGAGGUGAAAUUCGUAGAUAUUUGUAGGAAUGCCGAUAGUGAAGACAGCUCACUGGACAGAUACUGACGCUAAAGCUCGAAAGCGUGGGGAGCGAACAGGAUUAGAUACCCUGGUAGUCCACGCCGUAAACGAUGUUCACUGGGUGUAGGGGGUCGAACCUCUGUGCCGAAGCUAACGCGAUAAGUGAACCGCCUGGGGAGUACGCACGCAAGUGUGAAACUCAAAGGAAUUGACGGGGACCCGCACAAGCGGUGGAGCAUGUGGUUUAACUCGACGCAACGCAAGGAACCUUACCAGCACUUGACAUACAACGAACUCGUCAGAGAUGACUUGGUGCCGCUUCGAUGGAACGUUGAUACAGGUGGUGCAUGGCUGUCGUCAGCUCGUGUCGUGAGGUGUUGGGUUAAGUCCCGCAACGAGCGCAACCCCUAUCGUAUGUUACCAUCAUUAAGUUGGGGACUCAUGCGAGACUGCCUGCGACGAGCAGGAGGAAGGUGGGGAUGACGUCAAGUCAUCAUGCCCCUUAUGUGCUGGGCUACACACGUGCUACAAUGGUUGGUACAGAGAGCAGCAAUACGGCGACGUGGAGCAAAUCUCAGAAAGCCAAUCUUAGUUCGGAUCGCAGUCUGCAACUCGACUGCGUGAAGUUGGAAUCGCUAGUAAUCGCGAAUCAGCAAUGUCGCGGUGAAUACGUUCUCGGGUCUUGUACACACCGCCCGUCACACCACGAGAGUUGGUUGCACCUAAAGUAGCAGGCCUAACCAUUUAUGGAGGGAUGUUCCUAAGGUGUGAUUAGCGAUUGGGGUGAAGUCGUAACAAGGUA